rnacentral:rRNA from 1 species
UACGUAGGGUGCAAGCGUUACUCGGAAUUACUGGGCGUAAAGGGCUCGUAGGCGGCCAACUAAGUCAGACGUGAAAUCCCCAGGCUUAACCUGGGAACUGCGUCUGAUACUGGAUGGCUUGAAUUCGGGAGAGGGAUGCAGAAUUCCAGGUGUAGCGGUGAAAUGCGUAGAUAUCUGGAGGAAUACCGGUGGCGAAGGCGGCAUCCUGGACCGACAUUGACGCUGAUGAGCGAAAGCUAGGGGAGCAAACGGG